rnacentral:lncRNA from 1 species
GAGAGGUUUGAGAUGGGGUGGACGAAAGGUCGGACGGUCUGUGAAGGCUGGACGUUUUUUCUGGUGUAGAAGGCUGAACCGUCUGCGAAGGAAGGGUGGUCACCUGUUGAAAGCCGAAUGGUUUCCUGUUGUUUCCUCGUGCUCCAAGUUGGUUCUCCCUCCUCAUUCUCUAGGCCGGGUGGGCGGGUACCUGUCAAAGGCACUCCGACGCUCAAGUCAGUAAAUGACCAAACGGUAAUAUCAUGGAAUGAGAGUAAUACAUAAUGUAUAACGAGUGCAAUCUAUCUUGAAAUCAUACCUGGGACUCUUAUUUAUACUGGGUGUAAUGGGCUUUUACCUUUCGUGGGCCUGAUGACGGCCCAAUCACGACUUAACCGCCAUUAGGGGCUUUAAUCAAUUAUUAUUGUUUAUGAUUUAAUCAUGUGGUCGGCCGGUCUGAUGAAUGGUAGGCCUUGGAUGGCCUGGUUGCCUGUCUUAGCGAGAACCGUUUGGUCAUCCUGAGAGAGUCGUUCGGUUCUGGGAACUGGGAGGAAAUCGGUCGGUCGUUCCCGACAGUUGGCCUGCUUACGUAUAGGAGCCCAUACGGUACCCAGGAGACCAUACGAUACAUCAACCCCCAAGCCCGAGCAUGAUGCUAAUGAUGCGAAGGGUUUGUAAAUUCCUGGAAAGGAUGGGUUCUUCCAGUUUUGCUUUCGUCUCUAAGUCACCUUUGCGUGGAGUCCGAGAAGCUUGAGGCUACAGAGGC